rnacentral:rRNA from 2 species
CACCUGUAACCAUGCCGAACACAGAAGUUAAGCUUCUUAGCGCCGAUUGUAGUGAGGGGUUGCCCCUUGUGAGAGUAGGACGUCGCCACGC